UGCUAACGUCCGUCGUGAAGAGGGAAACAACCCAGACCGCCAGCUAAGGGCCCAAAGUCAUGGUUAAGUGGGAAACGAUGUGGGAAGGCCCAGACAGCCAGGAUGUUGGCUUAGAAGCAGCCAUCAUUUAAAGAAAGCGUAAUAGCUCACUGGUCGAGUCGGCCUGCGCGGAAGAUGUAACGGGGCUAAACCAUGCACCGAAGCUGCGGCAGCGAACGUAUCACCCAAGACAA
rnacentral:rRNA from 1 species